rnacentral:rRNA from 1 species
AGCGCAGGCGGUUUGAUAAGUCUGAAGUAAAAAGGCUGUGGCUUAACCAUAGUAUGCUUUGGAAACUGUCAAACUUGAGUGCAGAAGGGGAGAGUGGAAUUCCAUGUGUAGCGGUGAAAUGCGUAGAUAUAUGGAGGAACACCGGUGGCGAAAGCGGCUCUCUGGUCUGUAACUGACGCUGAGGCUCGAAAGCGUGGGGGCGAAAC